rnacentral:rRNA from 1 species
AGUCGAAUGCCGAUUUAUCGGCAUGGCAGACGGCUGAGUAACACAUGGGAAUCUACCUCAAACUCGAGAAUAGCCCAUCGAAAGGUGGUGUAAUACUCGAUAGUUCCGUUUACGGUAAAGCUCCGGCGGUUUGAGAUGAGCCCAUGUCCUAUCAGGUUGUUGGUGGGGUAAUUGCCUACCAAGCCUAUGACGGGUAGCUGGUUUGAGAGGAUGAUCAGCCAGACUGGGACUGCGAUACGGCCCAGACUCCUACGGGAGGCAGCAACUAGGAAUCAUGCGCAAUGGACGAAAGUCUGACGCUGCGACGUCGCGUGAGGGAUGAAGGUCUUAGGAUCGUAAACCUCUUUUAUCUGGGAACAAGUUCUGAGUGUACCAGAUGAAUAAGUGCCUGCCAACCACGUGCCAGAAGCAUCGGUAAUGCGUGGGGCACGAGCGUUAUCCGGAUUUACUGGGCGUAAAGAGAUGCGUAGGCGCCUUUUUAAGUCACUUGUAAAAUCUCCCCGCUCAACGGGGAAACUGCAAGUGAUACUGAAUUGGUUGAGUCAAGUAGAGGAGAGGGGAAUUCCUGGUGGAGCGGUUAAAUGCGUUGAUAUCAGGAGGAAUACCAAGUGCGAAGGCACCUCUCUGGACUUGUACUGACGCUAAGGCUCGAAAGUGUGGGGAGCAAAACGGAUUAGAUACCCGUGUAGUCCACACUGUAAACGAUCCCUGCUAGA